rnacentral:lncRNA from 1 species
UGGGUUGAUUCUUGGGCCGUGAAUACCAACAGCAACCAACAAAAAUUAUUGGUCAAUUUAGUUAAAAUCAAGCUAGUGGGGCGGUUCCUUGGGUCUUGAAUACAAACAACAAACAACUUUUUCUUGAACACCAAUCAAACAAAAGAUGGUGCUUUUGGGCGGUUCUUGGGUUUUCUGACCAAAGACAACAAGGAUCUUUAAUUGUUUAUUUCUAGUGGGGUUGCCUUGGGUGGUGAUCACAAAAACCAACAAUACAAACGAUUAUUGGUUACUUGGGCGGUGCCCCAAUCAACAAAAAAAUAUCUUUCAAUAUAUAUGAUCUUUCGAUGAUUUUUUUUAUUUUUUUUUUUUAUGAAAAUUAUUUAUUUUCUUGGACGGUAAACCCAAAAACAAACAACAAGCUGAUUAGUUGUCAAUUGGGCGGUGCCUUGGACAGUGGAACUUGGCGGUGAUUACCAAACAACACACAACCAAAAGUUAUUGGGCGGUUGGGGCGGUGCACCACACAAUUCAACAAAACGAUGGUCCUUUUUGGCGCUGUUGAAAUGAUCGUUUGGUUGAAAUGAUCUUUCGAAGGUGUUGGAGGUUAAUGAUUAUCCUUCGAAAUAAUUAAUGAUCAUUCGAAAACAAGAAUGAAUCUGAUCCUUCGAAGCACAAGAGAUCUGACCCUUCGAUAAUUGUUGAUGAUCUUUCAAAGUUGCUUAACUGUCAAGAUGACCUUUCGAGAAAAAGUUGGGUUGACCCUUCGAAACAAACAAAUGAUCUAUCGAAGUAGUUGAGAUGACCCUUCGAUGAACUGCUUGACCUUUCAAUGUUGUGAAAAGACCUUUCGAACAGAUAACUGAUCCUUCGAAGUAUGAAGAUGUCCUUCGAAGUAUGAAGAUAUCAAGAACUUCAAGAACACAGCUACUGGGUUUAUGGUAACCAUAAUUUGUCUAGCAAACACACACACGGUCAACCGAAUAACCCUCUCGUUUGACCACUUCAAACGAGCGGGUCUAUACACGUUCGAUAGACCGUUUCACUAACUAUUACAAAUUCAGCGUAAUAUAAUAACUAAUCUAUUCGACAAGCAUCGGACACAAAAUCUGCAUCAACAUAUAGUUAUGCAAUUAGAGCUUAUUAUAUCCAUGUCUCAUGGAAUCAUGUAAAGAUGUUAACUUCCCAUAUGAUAAAAUAAAGAAGAUCAACAAACUGCAAAACAUUAAAGAUUAAGUGUCCUUUAAUAACUAUGAAACACAAAAUUCGUUUCUAAAUUUAUAUCAACUAUUAACUUUUCAAAUAUAACAGUUUAGGAGGUUUAAUCAUUAAUGCAUUAAGUUUUUCGUAAGUAAGUGAGUUCGAGCUGCAAUUUAUUAAAAAAGUUCGGGCUUGGGCUCACUUAGGCUUGCGAGCCAACUUGAUCUCGAUAAAGGAAGCUCGGGCUUAGGCUCAUUUAUUAAACAAAUUUUUAUUUUUAGGCCCAAGCUUAGGAUUGCGUUCAUCUAAACUUGACUCUAUUCGAGCUCUUAGCCGAUCUAGAUUAGCUCAAGAGCGACUUGGCUCGUUUACACCCAAAGAAGAAAUGAUAUAAAUUUGAGAACAAAAGAAGGAAUAAAAAGGCGCAAGGUGUGUACACCUAAAGGUACGACAAUGUGUGCGGGUCGCGCGUGGUGGUCUUUCACCACCGGCAGGUGGCGGGGUAGCACUCUUGCACCGCCACCCACCAUCCUUAUCUUCUGCAUUAAACACCCACCAUCCAUAACAACAGUUUCUCUAGGAUGACAUGUAAUUUAACAUAUCAUCAAUCUUUAAGCAAGCCACUAUAAAAAAUAAAAACACACAUAAGAUGACAUGUGAACUUACAUUCAACUUAAACCAAUCAGAAAAUUGGGUCCCAAGGUUUUCUAAAACACAAAGAUAAGCCCUAUAUUGUUAAAAAAGUGGAUAAAAUUUCUUACCAAAGGUUAAUUAGGGAGAUUUACUUCAUAAAGGCUCUUAUGUUCCAUUAGUGUUGAUACCUAGCGGUCAUAAUCUGCUAAAAUUUAGCCUAAAAUUUAGCCUAAAACCGUCAAGAGGACAUAUGAAAUGGCUAAAAACAAAUGUAGACUAAGAUAUUUUGCAAGAACAAAAAAUAAGUGAAGUGGUCAACUACAACAGCUUAAACAACGUUUCUUUGAACCACUUGGAAACCAAAAUCUAACAAAUCUAGACAAAAAUCAGUGAAAUGGAACCAUACCUGGAAUGAAGAUAAAAUUUUGUCAACUUUCACUUAUUAGCUAGCGUUGGCUGAACAAAGAGGAGAUGGUGAAGAUAGAGAAGGGGAUAAAACACGGAUGAAACACAAAAACUCGAAAUACGCACAAAUUUAUAAUAAAAAA